rnacentral:rRNA from 1 species
CAGCCGCCGCGGUAAUACGGAGGGUGCAAGCGUUAAUCGGAAUUACUGGGCGUAAAGCGCACGCAGGCGGUUUGUUAAGUCAGAUGUGAAAUCCCCGAGCUUAACUUGGGAACUGCAUUUGAAACUGUCAAGCUAGAGUCUUGUAGAGGGGGGUAGAAUUCCAGGUGUAGCGGUGAAAUGCGUAGAGAUCUGGAGGUAUACCGGUGGCGAAGGCGGCCCCCUGGACAAAGACUGACGCUCAGGUGCGAAAGCGUGGGGAGCAAACAGGAUUAGAUACCCGUGUAGUCUCUGUCUCUUAUAC